rnacentral:rRNA from 1 species
AGAGAGAGACAUGCGCGCAUAUCAAUAAGCGGAGGAAAAGAAACUAACUAGGAUUCCCUCAGUAACGGCGAGUGAAGCGGGAAGAGCUCAAAUUUGAAAUCUUCAAGGUUCUACCUUGACGAAUUGUAGUUUAAAGAAGUGUUUUCUGUUGGAGUUUUGGUAAAAGUUCUUUGGAAUAGGACAUCAUAGAGGGUGAGAAUCCCGUAUUUGACCAUUAUUUCCAGCUUUGUGAUACACUUUCAAAGAGUCGGAUUGUUUGGGAAUGCAGUCCAAAAUGGGUGGUAAAUUUCAUCUAAAGCUAAAUGAUUGGCGAGAGACCGAUAGCGAACAAGUACCGUGAGGGGAAAGAUGAAAAGAACUUUGAAAAGAGAGUUAAACAGUACGUGAAAUUGUCAAAAGGGAAGCGUUUGACACCAGUGUUGUUUUCUCGAAAAUCAAUUAAAAAAGGCAGGAUUCUGUGUUGUAUUGACUUUAUCAGCUUUCUGCACUCUUUUCUUGUCUUUUUUAAUGCACUUUUCGUUUAACAAGUCAACAUCAAUUUCUUUUGUUGUAAAAGGGUCAUUGGAAGGUGGCUUUCUUUUCGGAGAAAGUGUUUAUAGCCUUUGGCCUCUGCAAUCGGAGAGAUUGAGGUCUGCAGCGUAGAUCCUUCGGGGUUAGAUACAUUUGUGCUAAGUUAUAGCCUUUCAUAGACAACUUGUUGACUAUGAUCAGUCAUGUAGCUUACUCGCUUAUGUUAUUUUACCUACGCUUAGGAUGUUGAUGUGAUACUGCGAGCA